rnacentral:rRNA from 1 species
GUGUCAGCAGCCGCGAUAAUACGUAGGGGGCGAGCGUUGUCCGGGAUUAUUGGGCGUAAAGCGCGCGCAGGCGGCCGGUUAAGUCAGAUGUGAAAGGCUGCGGCUCAACCGCAGAGCGGCAUCUGAAACUGGCCGGCUUGAGUGCAGGAGAGGGGAGCGGAAUUCCCGGUGUAGCGGUGGAAUGCGUAGAGAUCGGGAGGAACACCAGUGGCGAAGGCGGCUCUCUGGCCUGUAACUGACGCUGAGGCGCGAAAGCGUGGGGAGCGAACAGGAUUAGAUACCCCCGUAGUCC